rnacentral:ncRNA from 2 species
CGUUUUCUUCGGGGCGGGGUGCAAUUCCCCACCGGCGGUUACAGUCCGCGACUCCUUUGCAAAAAGGACUGAUCUGGUGAAAUUCCGGAACCGACAGUAAAAGUCUGGAUGGGAGAAGAAAAUG